CAGACAGAGGCCUCAUAUGAACCUGGGGUAGGUGCAAAAUGGAAUUUUUUUUGCUUUUCAACUUUGGUGUAAAUGAUUUGGAUGAGGGCAUCAAGGGGAUGCUUUUUAGAUUUGCAAAUGUUGUGAGGCUGGUAUGGGUAGUUAAUGUCAUAGAAGACGGAAUCUAUAUUCAAAACAGUUUCUGUCAGUCUGGAACUCUGGGCCAUGAAAUUCAACAGAGAUAAAUGUAAUGUCUUGCAUUUAGAUUUUUUAAAAAUCAAAGGCAUGUUUAUGGGAUGAGGUAGACACCUCUGUAAUCCCAUCAGUGUUGGACUCUGCUUUGAAGCUAGAAAAAACUGUUGUAUCCAUAGAUGGCCUGAGAUGUCUGCUAUGUCAAUAGUCAAGAGAUCUGGUUGGUUUUGUGUGGGGAGCUGUGUGGCUUGCAGGCUUCCAGUAUACAGUGUUAGUGCGCCUGAGAUCCAGAAAAAAAUGCUUUCUAGAAGCACCUUUAAACUUGACUGUUUUCCUGCACAGGUAUCGUGUCUGUAUCAUGUAUUAUAUAAUAUGUGUUUUUCUUCCACAUGGAAAUGUAGUAACGUAAGAAAAUUGCCAUGUGAAAAGCAUGCAGUUGGGACGAGCCAUCGGGUUACUACUACUACUGUCAAUUGGCACUUAAAUACUCCCUUGGCACUAAGCGGUUAUAAAUUAAUACAUAGCAAAAACAGAAAUAUAAAUAUAAUUUAAUGCAGACGUGCUAAUUGCUAUCAAAAAGCUUACUAACCAGGUUUUCCAAAGAGCACUCAAGACAGCGAUGGCUUUUUGUUAACUGGGCAGACAUGUCCUCUAUAACUAUCACAGUUUUAGGGAGUGACUCUUAUGGACUAGAACCACCCUUGAAAAAUUGCAUCGGUUUCAGCAGUUUUUGAUGUAUGAGCCGAAGUGGACUGCCUUACCCAAUAACCAGUGCUUUUGCACAUACACACACACACAUGGGCGUAGGAAAGGGGGGGCAGGCCGCCCCAGGUGCCAUCAUGGAGGGGGGUGACAAAUUAUCAAGGAACAAUUACUGCCCUACUAGGGCGGUUCAUGAAAAACCUUUU